ensembl:snoRNA
CGGAUCAAUGAUGACUACCGGUGGCGUAUGAGUUUUAUAUGAUGAAUACGUAUCUGGAACUCUGAGGUCCGU